UACGAAGGAUCCAAGCGUUGUCCGGAUUUACUGGGUUUAAAGGGUGCGUAGGUGGGAAAUUAAGUCAGUGGUGAAAGCUGGUAGCUUAACUAUCAAAUUGCCAUUGAAACUGAUUUUCUCGAGUACGGUUGAGGUAGCUGGAAUGUAACAUGUAGCGGUGAAAUGCUUAGAUAUGUUACAGAACACCAAUUGCGAAGGCAGGCUACUAAACCGUAACUGACACUGAGGCACGAAAGCGUGGGGAUCAAACAGG
rnacentral:rRNA from 1 species